rnacentral:lncRNA from 1 species
CUCGAGAUAUCAUCCCACCACGCACUCACAUGCUUCCGGUCCCUUAUCAGGUACUCCUUCCCCAUCUUGCCCACCAAGUACUGGGUGAAUGGAAGGUGGCUCAAGUCGGCAAGGCUGACGAAAUCCCCUGCCAGGUACUUGCUCUUCGACAGCAUCUCCUCGUAGAUAUCCAGCACCUUACAAAGCUUGUCUCGCUCUCUUUGAGCUGCGGGUGGAAGUUCUGGGCCGAAAACAAUUUUGAGGACAAGGUCGAAGAUUGGCGGGUGGAAGUUCUGGGCCUCAACUUCGAGCCACUGCUCAACGAGCCCCCUCUCCUCUAUAGUCUUCCCCAGUAGGUCAGUCCCUUGGCGCUUGUAUUUCUCAGCAUAAUAACUUAUGAUGGCCCGAGAUUCUGUAUGAAUUAAACAGGAUAUAUUACCGAGAGUAGACAGAAUCUUUAUCCCCACAUGUGAAAAGCACCAUAAAACUGGAAUGAAACCUGAAAGAGACAUGCACUGUGCUUUUGAGUUCACCAGCAUAGUUCUACUCUCAUGACCCUAGAUCCCCGGCAUAAGUGUAGAUGCAGCAGGAAUUUUCAAUGUCUAUACACUAAUCAUUCUGCUUAAACACCGGUCAAGAACAUAGUCGAAUGAAAAUGUGGGUCCAAACGGAAAAUCAGCAGCCUUUGGCCGACAUACAAAAAGCAGAUCAUGAACAACUCCACAGCAGAAAUCGAAGCUAUGAGUCUGGCCUGAGAGCUUUGAUUCAAAUCAUCUGUUCCUCAGGCAAAAGAUUUGACUUGAGAUUGAGAGUGGAUGUUGGUAAACUAAAACAAGUGGCUGAUAACAAAUGAACAUGCCACUGAGACUCAAACUUUCCAACUUCCUCUGGUAUCUCCUCAUUGCGGAACUUUUCUUAACUUUUGCGACGCUUUGCUGGCCAAUUACAAAACAAACAGCGCCUAGCGAACUACGAGCAUCCGAAUGCUGAACAACCAUCCGUAUUUGCACGUGUUUUGAUCUCAGGAGCGUCUCCUCAUUGCGGAAACUUUUCUUAGACUUUCGCGAUGCUUUGCUGGCCAAUUACAAAACAAACAGCGCUAGCGAACUACGAGCAUCUGCUUGCUGAAGAACCAUCCGUAUUUGCACGUGUUUUGAUCUCAGGAGCAAGAAAAAGCCUGAGCGCCGGACCAUGACGUGAAAAUCCGAAGGCUCAAAACAACAACGACAAAAAAAGAAAAGAUGCAACAAGCCAAGAGUUGAGAGCAUUACCGAACAGAGUGUAGUCACCAUCUUGAACCGCAGGAACUGAUCCGAAGGGCUAAUCAUACACCCAUAUACACAACAUCCGUAUCAAAAUCAAUCAGACAAAACACGCUUUAAAUGCCUAGUACCCACAAAAGAAGACACGAUCAAAAGUCAAGCUGUCGAGAGUUUGAACGAGAGUGAAGUGAGAGUCUCGAUAACGGGGGAGAGACCUGGAGCUUGAGGUACUCAGGGGCUUUGUGCUCUCCCUUGAAGUGAUCGAUGGUGACGGUCCGGAACUCGACGCCCUUCUCGAUCAGGCACUCCAACACUCGCUUCGGCGCUGCAGCAUCAGGCCCGUACACCUUCACCACCAUUCUCUCUCUCUCUCUCUCUCUCUCUUCUUGGUGGACCAGUCAAUUCCAAGAAUCUCUCGCUACUCUGUCUGGGUUUAUAAACAGAACUCUUGUCAGAGCAUUGAACCAAGUUGCACCCGUUACCGUCAUGCGACAACUUACCCAUCACGAUUGGCAUCCCAGGUUAGACACUUGAAAGAAGAUGCAGAAGUCGAGAUGAAGGAAAGCGAGAUGGGGAAGUUUUCUUGUAUUUCAGUAUAUCCUUGUAAUGUAUAGAGCAUGUCUAUUAUAAUACAUGUUGUAUGUAAAUAAAAGGAAACAAUAUUAUAUACAAAAUCAGAUUCGAUAUUAAUUGAUCUUGACUUGUGCAAUGAUAUCUGAAAGAUUCGGUUGAAUAUCCUUGCGUAUCUUUAACACUCCCCCUCAAGCUGGUGGCUUGUAAAUGUCCAAGACGCCUAGCUUGCUCAAGAGAUACGCAUGCUGUCUCUGACAUAAAGGUUUGGUGAAGACAUCUGCUGGUUGUUCUUCUGUCCCAAUCCCUUGUGUCUCGAUCAUCCCUUGUUGAAUCUUUUCUCGUGUGAAGUGACAGUCCACUUCUAUGUGCUUGGUUCUCUCAUGCACAAUAGGAUUCGAUGCAAGUUUGAUGGCUGCAUCAUUGUCACAAAAUAGUAUGGUCGGUCCUCUAACUUGUACUCCAAGAUCUCGAAGCAAUCCCCUUAACCAUACUAUUUCACAAGUUGUUUUGGCCAUAGCACGAUAUUCUGCCUCUGCCGAAGAUAGUGAAACUGUCGGUUCCUUUUUUGUCUUCCAUGAGAGUAAAGAGUCUCCCAAUUUGAUGCAGAAACCAGUAAUGGAUCUUCUGCUCAUCGGACGGGUCGCAUAAUCCGCAUCAUAGUAAGUAGUCAUCCUCAUGUCGCAUUUCCUGGAAAGAAGAAUCCCGAGUCCUGGACAACUCUUCAAGUACUUCACCACUUUAAGUGCUGCAUUCAUAUGAGAUUCCUUCGGUUGAUGCAUAAAUUGACUGAGUGUCUGGACUGCAUAACUUAUAUCUGGUCUGGUCAUGGUCAAAUAUAUGAGCUUCCCAACGAGCUUCUGAUAACUCAAUUGAUCCUUGAGUAUAGGAUCAGUCUGUUGAGAUAAACCAACAUCAUAAUCUGCUGUAGUCAGUUUAAUGUUCUGCUCAAUUGGAAUUACAGCUGGCUUACAUCCUGAUAGACCUGCUUCCGAUAUAAUCUCCAGUGCAAAUUUCCUCUGACUGAGGGAAAUCCCUUGGUCUGAGCGUGCGAUUUCGAUUCCAAGGAAGUACUUUGGUGAUCCUAAAUCCUUAAUAUGGAAUGUUGAAUGCAAAUAGCUUUUGAAUUCUUUGAUAGCUACCUCAUCAUUGCCCAUAAUAAGUAUAUCAUCUACAUAUAUCAUUAAGUAAAUAGCAUAAUCAAACUUGGACUGUUGAAAACCGGCGGCUAUCAAUGACUCAGCAAACUUUGCAUACCACUGUCUUGAGGCUUGUUUGAGUCCAUACAAGGAUUUGCGGAGACGACAGACUUUAUCCUCCCCCUGUCUCCGUAAACCUGGUGGCACUUCCAUAUAAAUCUCCUCAUCUAAAUCCCCAUGCAGAAAUGCGUUGUGCACAUCCAUCUGAUGCAAUGACCAGUCCCGAAAAGCCGCUACGGAAAGGAAUGAUCGAACAGUCACAUCUUUGGCCACGGGGGAAAAGGUUUCGUGGUAGUCAAAACAUUCCCGUUGUGUGAAACCUUUCGCCACUAAUCGAGCUUUGUAUCUCUCAACAGAUCCAUCUGCACGAUACUUGAUCUUGUAAACCCAUUUGCAUCCAAUCGCCUUGCGGUGUGCAGGUAGGGUAACAAGAUCCCACGUCUGAUUAUCCAUCAAGGCCAUUAACUCUGCUUCCAUGGCCUUCUGCCAGUGCGGAUCAGUGCGUGCCUCCUCAAAGCUCGAUGGUUCUCGCCCAUCAGAAAUGCGAGUAAUACAACAUCUAUGUUCUGGGAAAAGUCUAUCGAAAGAAACAAAUGAGGCAACCGGAAACGGAAUACCUGGUGAUUUCUGGACUCCGCAUAUGUAGUCUUUGGUCCAUGUCGGUGGACGUGUGCUACGUCCGGAUCGCCUUGGUACAUGGUGCCUUGAUGGUGAAUGAUUAUCAUUUGAAUCCCCAACAUUACUUGAAACUGGAGAAGCGACUUCCUCCUGGUGUGAUGCUGUCACUUCAGCUGAGGACAUCAUGUCCAUAGGGGUCAUAGUAGAUGGCCUGAUAUUUGCUGAUGGAGGAAGGAGAACAUAGUUUGGAUCUUCCAUAGUCUCCUCCGUCUGAAUAAUACGAAAAAGAUAAUCCUAUUAUGUAUCUGAUGCAGAGGUGGCAAAAGGAAAAGAAUUCUCUUGAAACGAAACAUCUCGACUAACUAUGAAUUCUCCUGUGGAAGGAUAAAAAACCCUGUAUCCCUUCUGUAGAGUGGGAUAUCCCAUAAAGAUGCAUCAACGAGCACGAGGUCCCAUUUUAUCCCUAGGACCUACUAUGGUGGCGUAGCAAAGACAUCCAAAAAUCUUCAAAUGUCCCAGAUCUAGUUUCUUUCCAUAAAGCAGCUCAAAAGGUGUUCGCCCGCUAAGAAGUUUACUUGGCAUACGGUUGAUUAAAUAAGUUGCAGUUAAAACACAAUCGCCCCAAAAAGUGUCUGGAACAUAAGCUUGGAAUUUCAAAGCCCGUGCCAUUUCUAAAAGAUGACGAUGUUUCCGUUUUACCACCCCAUUUUGUUGUGGUGUAUAAACACAUGUGCUCUCAUGUAGUAUUCCAUGGGACAAAAAAAGAGCAGUACAUUCAUGAUUGAAAAACUCACUACCAUUGUCUGUCCGGAUUUUUUGAACAUCUUUCCCAAAUUGAGUUUUUGACAAGGAAAGAAAGCUCUUAAGGUGAGAUAGAACUUGACCCUUACUUUGCAUGAGAAAAAGCCACGUAGCCCUGGAGUGAUCAUCUACGAUGGUGAGAAAGAACCAAGACCCAUCAUGAUUUAAUAUAUGGUAUGGCCCUCAGACAUCAACAUGUAAUAAAGAAAGAAUGUCACUUGAGCGAUGUUGACUUAGUGGAAAGGGUGUUCGCGACUGUUUCGCAAGUGGGCAAAUAGGGCAUUGAGGGUAAGGAAAAGAAGGGCUGUGACCCAAUCUAGAAUGUAAAAGGAAAUUCUUAUAAUUGGUAGUCAGAUUACACAAUGAUUUAUUACAAGAGAGUAAAUCAAGAUUUUUGGGUGAAUUUCUCCAAUAAAACAAUCCUUCAGAGAGGUUACCCCAGCCCAUUAGUUUCCCAGUCGAAAGGGCCUGAAAUAGACAGACAUCAGCAUUGAAAAAAACUUGGCAUGAAUUUUCUUGACAGGCUUUGGACACUGAGAUAAGAUUGAAUUGGAAAUUCGGGACGUAAAGAACAUUUUUUAGAGUAAUUUGUGGGCUAAGAAUGACAGUCCCGGUUAGGGUGACACAAGUGAUAUUGCCAUUUGGCAAUUGCACAGUAAUAGGAUUAGUUGAAUCUUCAUGAAUAUUAUAAAAUAACCCCUUAUUGCAUGUAAUAUGAUCGCUCGCUCCAGAGUCAAUAAUCCAGGCAUUUCUUGAUAUAUUACUUGUCAGGCAAUAAGAAAUACCUGUAAAAUUGCUCCCCCUUUUUGGUGCCUCCAAUUUUUGCAAAGCCUGCAAUAAUUGUUGAUAUUCUCCAUGUGUGAUUGGUUGAUUGACAUCUGUGGAUGGAGUGGGCUAAUAAGCUGCUGCUGAAAUUUCCUUCCCUUUCCUGUUAGGCCUCCCAUGUAAUUUCCAGCAAUUGUCAAUUGUGUGGUGGGGCCUUUUACAAUAAUCACAAAAUAACUUCCAUCUAUUUUUAAAAUUCGGCCCAAAAUUUCUCAAAUAAUUCGGACCGUUGGAUCCCUUUAAGCCGAGCGCAUCUCCACCGUCGAGAUCACCCGAGUGCCGCGCCCCUUUCUGACCGUCGGAUCGCUGCAGUCGAUCUCGACCGUCCACGGAGCCUUUAAAAGGGCCCUUUUGCUCCGCAAACCCUAGUGCCCCCUUUGGCUCUCCGAACCCUAAUGAUAUCGCGUCUCUUCCUUUGGCUAGGGUUUUCUGCCCCUUUUCGAUUUUCGCCGCCAAGGCUAGGGUUUCGAUGGUUUUGGCCUCGGAUGUAGUGAGUCUCUGGUUCUCCUCCUGCACCGCGAGCUGAAAUAUCCGGCCAAGGGGAGGAGCUGGUUCCAUUGCCAAGAUCUGCGAUUUGAAAUGGAGGUAAGAAUCGUUGAGAAUCAAUAGAAAACGAGUUGCCUUUUCUCGGUCCCCUAUCGCUUUGUAUUGCUGGAGUGUUGCCUUCGGUCCUUCGAGUCUCUCUUCUGCCGUUUCUAGCUCGUUCCAGAGGGUGGAUAGCUUGUUGAAGCAUGUCGUCAAUGACAUGUUUCCCUGCUUGAGCUCGCUGAGAGCUUGAUGCAGCGAGAAAAUUUUUACCCUAUCGAGUUUUCCGUACAUUUCUUGAAUAUUUUGCCAAAUUGUUUUUGAAUCCUCUGUGGGAGGUAAACCUGCAGCGAUUUCGGGGCUGAUGCAGUUACCUAUCCACGUUCUUACCAAUUGGUUGCAUUUUUUUUCCAUUGUCGCCCCAUCUUCUCAUCGGUCGGAAUCGGAAUAGUUCCGUCAAUGAAACCUUCUUUAUCUUUGGUGACGAGCGCUCUUCGAAGCUCUCGUGCCCAGCUCGAGUAGUUUUCAGGUCCUGUGAGAGGGUGACUAAUAAGUCGCAACUCCGACCCGUCGGAAUUGGAAACAUACAGGGCAUCGCCAGGUUCUGGGCGACCCAUGGCGGCCGCCAAGGAAAUCGGUAGGAGACCGGUUGGAAACCCCGAAUAAGGGUUUGCUUGCUGACCCUGAUUGAAACCGCCCUGAGUCCCCGCAUGCGAAUCGCCUGGGUUUUCGCCCGCAUUAAUCGACCCGAUUGUUUCUGAUUGGUCCGGCCCGCUCGCGACUGGUGGACUAUUCUGAGUCUAACUUCCUGGGAAUGAUACAUUCGGAUUUCCUCCAUAGUAUACUGGCAUUGGCACCCACUGGUAUGGAGUCCCUGAAUGAGGAUACCCCUAGACUGGGUUGCCAAGGAAAAAAUUGCCCCAUCGCGGGCUGAUCAGAUCGACCUAUGAUGUUAUGCACUUGAUCUUGUGCUUCUGAGGUCGCUGCAUCCACAGGUAAUUGCCCCGAUUGAGGUUGAUUGUCAGCCAUGACGGUAUGAAGAACUCCCUCUCUUCCUUUUCCUUCGUCUGUUUCAAUGUGAUUUCCUAAGGGUGAUGAUUCUUGCGCCGAAGAGCUAAUGCGUUUUGCAGGUUAGCUAGAUUUUUCCGGUGGAAGAUCAGAAGACCAGAAGAGGACGAAUUGAAGAAGCGAAUUAAAGGUGCGUAACCCACUCUGAUACCAUGAAAGAAGAUGAAGAAGACGAGAUGAAGGAAAGCGAGAUGGGGAAGUUUUCUUGUAUUUCAGUAUAUCCUUGUAAUGUACAGAGCAUGUCUAUUAUAAUACAUGUUGUAUGUAAAUAAAAGGAAACAAUAUUGGCAGAAGUACAGCGCAAGUGCCAUAACUUGGCACCGAGGGACACUUAAGUGCCAUAACUUUAAAAUGGUACACUUGAGUGCCAGUUUUGAAAUUAAAUGGGACACUUAAGUGCCACUCCGGCGAAGAUCCGGCCAAAUGGCUUACGUGGCGACUUUCCGGUGAGUUUGGUCCAAAACGGCGUCAUUUUGCACGCUGACGUGGCGGAGAAAAUGCAAAAACGACGUCAUUUCGUGUCUACAUGUAAAUAAUAAUAUAAAAAUUAAUUAAAUUAAAUUUUAAAUACUCAAAAAAUUUUAAAAAAAAUAAGAAAAUUUAAAAAAUUUAAAAAAAUUAAGAAAAAUUUAAAAAAUUAAGAAAAAUUUNNNNNNNNNNNNNNNNNNNNNNNNNNNNNNNNNNNNNNNNNNNNNNNNNNNNNNNNNNNNNNNNNNNNNNNNNNNNNNNNNNNNNNNNNNNNNNNNNNNNGCGGCGGCGGCGAGGGAGCCGCCCCGUUCGACCUCCCCCCCUUUUUUAAAAAAUUUUAAAAAUUUUAAAUUUUCUUAAUUUUUAAAUUUUUCUUAUUUUUUUUUAAAAAUUUUUGAAUAUUUUAAAUCUAAUUUAAUUCAUUUAUAUAUUAUUAUUUACACGUAGACACGAAACGGCGUUGUUUUUGCGUUUUCUCCGCCACGUCAACGUGCAAAACGACGCCGUUUUGGACCAAACUCGCCGGAAAAUUGCCACGUCAGCCAUUUGGCCGGAUUUUCGCCGGAGUGGCACUUAAGUGUCCUAUUUUACUCUGAUAUUGGCACUUAAGUGUACCAUUUUAAAGUUAUGGCACUUAAAUGUCCCUCCGUGCCAAGUUAUGGCACUCCAGGUGUCCCAACCUCCAAUAUUAUAUACAAAAUCAGAUUCGAUAUUAAUUGAUCUUGACUUGUGCAAUGAUAUCUGAAAGAUUCGGUUGAAUAUCCUUGUGUAUCUUUAACAACACUUAGUUGGCAUCCCAGGUUAGACACUCAGUCAAGGUUGGUAUGCUGUAUGCUGCUUCUAUCAGUUUUGUGAAGUCUGAUUUUGCAUAUGCCUUGAAUCGCUUUGUAGUAUUUUCUCCGGCCGAUCUUUGACAUAUUAUACUCUUGCAACGUGCAUAAUAUAGUUGGACAAUAGAAUCGUUGAAUUUCAUUAUGCUCGCAUAAUUUACAUAUUUCUAAGUACAAUUCUUUUGUGGGCCACUGAAAUUUAAAAGAUCCAUCCAUGUUGAGAUUGCCCGAUUGCCUGCCUGCUUCUAGAAAAGCAAUUAAAAAUUUGCUCGAAUUGGGUAUUAUAGGUACUAAUCAGUCUUUUUCCACAGUUUCUUUAAAGUUCAGGAAGAACAUUCAAGUGUUGAUAUUCAUGAGACAAUAUGAACGUUUCUCGUAUGCUUCAGCUAACCCUUUUGCGGAUGAAUUCAUCACGUGAUACUACAUUGGUUUCUGCAGCAGUUUUCACUUCCCUUCUGAUGCAAAAGAGUUGGCAAACCUCCGACUUCUUCAUGCCAACAAGACGCGCCCACGUCUGAUAAAUAAAACUUGAUGUGGUUGGUAUCCAUGGUUAUGAAGACUUCAUUAUCUCCUAGAAUGAGUCUUAACAGCUCAUCUAACACCAAUUCAGUGAGUACUGGACAUAUAAAUGAAAGUUUAUGAAGUUGCUCUUUUUAAGUUGUAAAAGAUCCUCAAAAGUUGAUAAGUAGGUGAUUAAUUUUUAAUUUCACCAAAGUCGCUCGCAUAGUACUAAUCAGCUGCGAACACAGCCCAACAACACACAACACCGCCAUGAAUAAUACAACAAGAAGGAGGUCCACGACAGGAUCGGUCAAACCAGACUCAACAAAGCUUAUUUGAUCACCCAGAUCGAGUAGAAACAUACUUAGUAGACACAGAAAGACUCGCUAUCCUUCGCAUAGACCAAGGACUCGGGUGCACUCGGCAUAACUGAUAAAACAGUCCUAAUACAGACCGGGCCAGAGCUCAAGGACCUUCUUCCAAGAAGGCCUGCUCGAGAUAUCAUCCCACCAACCGCUCACAUGCUUUCGGUCCCUUAUCAGAUACUCCUUCCCUAUCUUUCCCACCAAGUACUGGGUGAACGGAAGGUGGCUCAGGUCGGCAAGGCUAAAGAAAUUCCCUGCCAGGUACUUGCUCUUUGACAGCCUCUCCUCGUAGAUAUCCAGAACCUGACAGAGCUUGUCCUCGCUCUCUUUGAGCUGCUUCGGAUCCGGGGUAAGCCCUCUAAGCGGGCCGAUAACAACUUUGAGGACGAGGUCGAAGAUUGGCGGGUGGAAGUUCUGGGCCUCAACUUCGAGCCACUGCUCAACGAGCCCCCUCUCCUCGACUGUCUUCCCCAGCAGUUCAGUCCCUUGGUCCUUGUAUUUCUCGGCAUAAUACCUUAUGAUGGCCCGCGAUUCUGUAUGAAUUAGACUGGAUAUAUCACGGAGAGUAGACAGACAAAUCUUUAUCCCCACAUAUGAAAAGCAACAAAUAACCAGAAUGAAACCUACAAGAGACAUGCACUGUGCUUUUGAAUUUACCAGCAGAGUCUUACUCUCAUGACACUAGACCCACGGUAUAAGUGUAGAUGCAGCAGGACAUUUCAAUGUCUAUGCACUGAUCAUUCUGCUUAAACUCCAUCAAGAAUAUAACCGGAUGAAAAUGCAGGUCCAAACGGAAAAUCAGCGGCCUUUGGUCGACAUAUGAAAAGAGACAGAUCAUGAACAACUCCAGAACAGAUAUGGAGACUAAGAGCCUGGCCUUAAGAGCUUUGGAUUCAAAUCAUCUGUUCCUCAGGCAAAUGAUUAGACUUGAGAUUGAGAGUGGAUGUAUGUAACCUAAAAAGAGUGGCUGUUAUCGAGUGAACAUGCCAGUGGACUCAAUCUUUUCAACUUCCUCUGAUAUCCACUCAUUGCGGAACUCUUUAGACUAUUGCGACGCUUCACUGGCCGAUUACAACACAAAAAGCCUCUGUAAGUUAGGAACAUCGCAUGCUAAAGAACCAUCCGUAUGUCCCCGUGCUCUGAUCUCAAGACCGCAAGAAAACAGCAAUAGAAAGAAAAGAACGAUGCAAGAAGCCAAGAGUCGAGAGCAUUACCGAACAGAGUGUAGUCGCCAUCUUGAACCACAGGAAGCGAUCCGAAGGGCUACACAGGCGGGCGCGCGCGCACGAGAUCCGAAUCAGCGUCAAUCAGACAAGACACACUUUAAAUGCCAAGUACCCACGAAAGGAGACACGAUGAAAAGUCAAGCUGUCGAGAGUUUGACCGAAAGUGAAGUUGGACUUUCAAGAACGAACGGGACAGACCUGGAGCUCGAGGUACUCGGGGGCUUUGUGCUCGCCUUUGAAGAGGUCGACGCCGACGGUCUCGAACUCGACGCCCUUCUCGAUCAGGCACACAAGCACCCGCUUCGGCGACGCGUAGUCAGGGCCGUACACCUUCACCACCAUCUUCACUCCCGCUCCCUCACUCUCUCUCUCUCUCUGCUUCUUUCUUCCUUCUGGACGGACCUAGCCAGCGACUCUCUCCGCUGUGUCUCCCGGCUUUUAUAAAGAAGUCUCUUUGUUAGAGCAGCAGACAGAAGCUGCACACGUCAAUGAUGCUGCACACGUCAAUGAUGCACCAACCCACCACCAAUCCAAGCUUAGUUAAUUGGUCCCAUCACUAAAGAGUUUCGCAUUUUGCAUUUGCUUCCAUGAGUUUGAAUCCCUCUGCAAGUUAAGACUUAUCUGGAAAUACUGCGACUCUUUGGCUGUGCAUGCUAUCUGGGUAAAGUUGGGAUGGCAAGUAGGGCCUCCUUUGGUUAUAGAUAGAACUUUUUAUAUUUAUGAUAUAAAAAUCAUUUUUGUCUAAUAAUAAAUUUCUUCGAAUUUAAAUAAUUAAAUAUAAACAAUAUAUGAGUUCUAAUAUUAAAAGGGAAAUUCAAAAUAACAACGACUUUCAUUUUAUUUUUAUUUUUAUAUUUGAAUUUAUUUCUAUAUAUACAUACUUAGCAUUUAUAUCUAUAGCAUAUUUUAGGUAUUUUGGUAUAGUUAAUUUAUUAAGAAAUGAUGGAAAGGAAUAAAAAAAAAGAAAAAAAAAAAGAGAGUGAAAAUAAUAUAAAAAUAAGUAAAUAAAAUUGAAGUAGGCGAGAGAGUCUAAACACUAAUUCAGAUUCGCAAAGCUAAAUGAUAAUGUUUUCUUUCUCUUAACAGAUUUGACAUGCAUCCACUAAUUUGCCUAUUGAUGUUGUCGUAGCUCAUUUACAUUUGUCUUCAUAGUCGAACCCAUGACUCUAAAAUGCUGCAAUGACCUCAUUUGCUGUUUAAGAUUUGGAUUGUCCAAUAAUUAUGGAUUUAUUUAUGGAUGUUAUCUCCAUUUUGUCCUUUAAUGGUUUCUUUAGCAAUUAACUGUAAGUUAUUCUUAACAUCUCCCUUUGUACAUUUUCAUGUACAUUUACAUUGAUAUACUAUUCAUACCAAACAUUAGACAUGAUAGGAUAUGAAAAUAUUCGAUUUUAUUACUGUAAUUUACCACAUAAUAGACAAGAUUUUGGUAAUUUCAUAUCCUACCAUAUCAUAUUAUAUUCAGUCAUAUUUUAACUAGAAAUCCAAAUGAACAAAGGUAGCCUAAAAUUGUUAAAAUCCGUCAUGCUCCAUGGGACAUUUGUAAUCUUGAAAGAUCUGUCUUUUGUUGAUUUCUUUUGCACUAAAUUGGUGUCGCACCUAUGCUCUAUACCUUUGAUUAGUUUCGGCCGAAAAGUUUUCAAUAAUCGUCACUAGAAAAUAGUAAAAAGCACUAUGCUCAUUUUUUCACAUGGCCCACGUGCUUCUAGAAAAGGCAAUUACCAAUUUGCUCGAAUUGGGUAGUAGGUGACGGUUCAAAUUGGCCUAUGUCCGCAAGCCAUAGAUUCUAAUAAUCGGUCUUAUUUUUAAUCUAAAUUAUUCGAGGGAGUAGGAAGAUUUGGCCAAUCGAAAAUGCACACUUGAGCUGUCCUUGCGUCAUUUACAAAAUGGUUUUCUUUGUCGACUUCCUUUGCACCUGCAAUUGAGUAAACUAUUGAUCACCUAACCUCCACAAGGAAGAAAGGGGUAGUCAACUAUUAUAUAUUCAACGCCAUUACUCACCCAAAUCAAUCAUCAUGCGUGGGAAUAUAAGAAACCUCAUAACAUUUUUCAUGCGACAACAGAAUUAGAAGAGCAAAAAGCAUCAUUGCUCAAACGAAAUACUGCUAUGGGAAAGACUAUCGGUUCGAGUGUUAGAAGGGAGGUGUUUUUAGGAAGGAUCAUUUAUGUGAGGAAACUUAUAUUGGUGACAAGGGAGAUAUAAAGAGGUGGAAGGAUGCACUAAGUAAAGUAGCUGGUCUCGCCGGAAGAGAAUUGAAAGAUGGGUAGGCCACUCUUCCACUAACUUGGAAUUAUUUGUUUUCUUUAAGUUUAGUGUGCCAUGAAUGUCAUGACUAUCAUACUCUGUAUUAUGUUAGUUCAUCUGAACCAGAAUAUAUGAUUAACUCCUCCAAAACUACACUGCCUCAAUGCUACCUAGGGAACCAAUCAUCUGGAUUUCUUCAUUGUAGAUAUGAGACACAGUUCAUUCAGCAAAUCAUUGGAGAAAUCAAAGAUAAACUUGGUCCCCAGUUGUCCUAUGUUGUAGGUGUUAGGGAAAUCCCUUAUGAUGUUUUAAAGAUGACAAAAUAAAUCAACAGCUACUAACAUGUUUAAUGGUUAAGUAACAGAUUAUGUAGAUGAUAGAACAUAUAAAAGAUAUUGUCAAAGUCUAUACAUGAAAGAACUAGAAGACAGACUUUAUGUUGAAACUGAACUUAUUCAGAUUGUAUCCAGAUCUUAAGUCUAAAUCUGUUCAGAAGUAGAAUAUGUUCAGACUUACGUCCUGAUUGUAAAGUCUAUCUCAGACAGAAUAUUCUCAGACUUUACAUCCAAAACGAGAAACAAGUUCAGAACAUAGCAGAUUCAGAACGAAGCAUGUUCAGAAUGAGACAACUUGACAGAACGUAACACAAGCCCCAAACAUAUAAUGACUAGUGUUCUGGUUUGGAUUUUACAUCAAGAUAGAUUUGAUUAACUUAAUCUAAUUGAUUGACAAUUGAAUAUUGAAGACAAGAACUUUAUAUACGAAGAAGCUCUACUUAUGAAAACCAAGAUUCUGCUGGUAUGGGCAAUCAGAAUUAAUUUAGGAUUAUACUUCUAUCAUUCAACGGCUAUUAAAUCUUUUAGAUACAGAUUUGUCCAAUGGGUAGAUUAGAAGACGAUCCUCUAGAUAUUGUCCAAUGGCUAGUUUGGAAGUGGAUGAGUAUUUAAAGAGAUCAAGAACCGAUGAGCAAGUAAGAAAUGGAGUGUAGAAUUUAUAAUUCCAAAGUCUGAACGACCUUCAAUCAUACACUUGUCUUUAGUGAGCUUAAACGUUUGUGAUUGUGAAAGAAAUACCAAAACAAUGACUUUGUGAGAUAGUGUGAUUUACCACCGAAUGUUUACACUUAAAGUUAUAAUCUCUUGUUGAUCACAUAGUGGAAUCCAGCCAGAAGGCUGUCAGCGUGGGAGAGUGGACAUAGCCUUGAUUUAAGCCGAACCACUAUAAAUUUUGUGUUUUUAUUAUCUUCCCUGAACUCCUUUAUUUUGUUCGUAGUUCUAUUUAACUACUAAAGUUUGAACUCGCUCAAAAUCUGUUGUUCUUCAAACUCAGUUUCAAAAGCAAAAUAUUUUUAUUACUUUUUGCGAAAAAAUUUCUUCACACCUAUUCACUCCCCUCUAGAUGUUCAUACCAGUACUUUCAGUAGGCAAUCUUGUGAGAAUGCAUUCCUGAGUUGCAAAUGUAGUUGAAUAUAUAUGCUUGGACGAGAGUGAUGUACACAAUAUUGGCAUAUGGAGAAUGGGUGGCAUAGGCAAAACAACUGUUGCACGAACAAUUUUUGACAAAAUCUGUGGCUGAUUUGAUGAUGGAUGUUGCUUUCUUGCCAAUGUCAAAGAAAUUUCAAAAAAGAAUGGUCUGGUAUAUCUGUAAAACCAGUUCCUCAGUGAUAUUCUCCAAGAGGACAAUUUGACAAUCAAGGAUGAUCACAGAGGAGCGAACAUAAUAAGAGAACAACUGCGACAUAAAAAAGUUCUUGUUAUGCUUGAUGACGUGGACAAAAAUGAGCAGCUAGAAAAACUAGCAAGAGGUCUUGAAUGGUUUGGACAUGGGAGUAUGAUCAUUAUAACAACCAAAGAUGAACAUUUGCUUCUCCAAUAUGAUGUAAAUUCCAUAUAUAGGGUGGAGGGACUAUCAUUUUAUGAGGCUCACCAACUAUUUUGUUCAAAAGCUUUUAGAAGUGACCAUCCUCCAGUAGAGUUCGAGGAGCUCACAAACCAAGUUAUUGAAUAUGCUGGUGGUCUUCCUCUAGUCCUUGAUGUCGUAGGUUCCUUUUUGGCUUAUAGGAGCUUGAAGCAAUGGAAGAGUGCACUAGCCAAACUCAAGGAAUGUCCAAAAGGGAAAUUUUUUUAUCGGCUUAAGUUAAGUUAUGAUGGACUAUAGCAGAAAGAGAAGGAGAAUUUCCUAGAUAUUGCAUGUUUUUUCAAGGGAAAGGAGAAACCUUACGUUACAGAAGCUCUGGACAAUUGCGGUUUGUAUAUAGAUAUUGGAAUCGAAGCCCUUGUCAAUAAAGCUCUUAUCCAAAUUGUGGGCAACAAACUGUGGAUGCAUGAUUUACUAUAAGAGAUGGCUUGGGAAAUUGUUCGUUGAGUCUCUUGAAGAGCUAGGAGAACGAAGUCGAGUUUGGCUUUUUGAGGAUGUAUGCCAUAUUCUGUCAAAAAACUCGGUGAGUAUCUAUAAAAUUAAUUUGCAAGCAUGCCAAUUUGAUAGAGUUUAAAAAGAACUUGCUAGUCAUGUAUUGACACUAUAUGAGUUGUUUAUCAGUAAACUAGAAAAGUCAAAGCCAUAGUCUUGCAAUUUGAGGACCAUAGAACAAUGCGCUUGAGUGGAGGGUCCUUCAUUAACAUGACUAAAUUAAGAUUGCUUGAUAUUCGGGCCAUCCACCUCUCUUCUGGGUUCAAGCACCUUUCAAAUGAACUAUGCCUGCUAAGAUGGGACAAUUGCAGUCUUAAAUCAUUUCCACCAAGUUUUCUUCCAAAGAAUCUUGUCGAACUCCAUGUGCAGGAUAGCCUCCUUUGCAGCAUUUGGAGAGGGGAAAAGGUUGGAAUUAGUACUAAUGCAUGUUAACCUCAAUGGUUCCAAAUUAUUCGUGGAGACUCCAAACUUCAUACAUGUCCCAAAUCUAGAGAGGCUAAUUCUCAAAGGUUGCAAAGUAUUAUCUAAAGUUCAUCCUUCAAUUGGAAAUCUAGAAAGACUCAGUCUACUUGACUUAGGUGAUUGUGAAAACCUCAUGGGACUUCCAAAUAGUCUAGGUAAUCUAAAAUCUCUCAGAGUUCUUAAUCUAUGUGGAUGUUCAAAUCUUGAAGAAUUGCUUGAUAGCAUCGGGGGCUAAGAGUGCUUAGAGGAGCUUGAUAUUAGUGAAGUGCCAUGACACGCCUCCCAUCCAGCUUGGUGUUCUUACAAAAUCUGAAAAAAAAAAAAAUUACGCUUUCAUGUUAGUAAAAGGAGGCCACAAAAUUGUUAGAGGACACUGACCAAACGCUGAGAAGAGCUCUGAACUCUUGAAGUCUGAGGUUGCCUUCAUUUUCAGGGCUAUCCUCUUUGAUAGAGUUGGAUCUAAGUGGCUGUAGAGUUUUGGAAGGAGAAACUCCCAGUGAUAUUAACUGCUUACCCUCCUUGAGGUCUUUAGACCUAACCGAAAACAGUUUUAUCACCAUACCUACAAGCAUCGGACAUGUCUUUGGCCUGGAAUCGCUUUGCAGCAUUUUCUUCGACCCAUGUUUGACAUAUUAAAUACUCUUGCAGCGUGCAUAAUGUUGGAUAUAGUUGGAUAGUAGAAUCGUUGAAUUUCAUUAUGCUCGCAUAAUUUACAUAUUUUUAAUUAUAAUUCUUUUGUGGGCCAUUUGAAAUUUAAAAGGUCUAUCUUUCGUCAAUUUUUUCUUCACUGGAUGAAUGUCGAACCUAUGCUCAACAGUCAAUUUACGUUACUUGUUUUGGUUGAAAAAUUUCCAACAAUCUUGGUAGAAACGGCAAAAGCAUUUUGCUUGUCCAUGUUGAUAUUGCCCGAUUGCCUGUCUGCUUCUAGAAAAGCAAUUACAAAUUUGCUCGAAUUGGGUAUUGGGGAUACUAAUCGGUCUUUUUCUGCAAUUUCUUUAAAUUUAGGAAGAAUGUUCAAGUGUUGAUAUUCAUGAGACAAUAUGAACUUUUCUCGUAUGCUUCAGCUAAUCUUUUUGGGGAUGAACUCAUUGUGUUAUGCUACUUUGUUUUCGGGAAAAGUACCAAAAAAGUCCUAAGCCUUUUGCAUUGGUACCAAUUUAAUCAUAAACUUUUCAAUUGGACCAAUUUAGUCAUAAACAUUUUGCGUUUGGUACUGAUUUAGUUCAUCCGGCCAUUCUCUACCGGAAAAGGCUUAUGUGGACUCCAAGUCAGUGCUGGCCGGCAUUGCUGGCGCUGACAUCCAGCACUGACAUGGAUGCCGAAGUGCAAAACUACGUCAUUUCGCUUAAAAAAAUUAUUUAAAAAAAAUUAAAAAGGGACUUUUUUACACCCAAAACACAGCAUAUCGUUUACCCUAAAAUUGAAGACGCUCUGCCCACGAUCUUCACCCAACGUACGCCCAAACCCUAUUAUGAUCUCCCCCCAAAAUUCUCAGCAACUUGCUCUAGAUUCAAUCUCAUCUUUCCAAUUUCUUGAAGCCAAGUUGUUCUUCCACCAAUCGCUUUCAUUAAUCAAGCCCCUUUCAGUUGAGGGCUUCAUCCAUCACAAUCCCAGACUCGCCCAUCUUUAUGGGCAAAGACUCAAUUCGCCCACAACCCCGUUGAGACUCGACUCAUUGUCACGACCCGACUCAUCCGUCACAAUCUGAAGCGAACAUGAGUAGGCGUUGUGGUCCCGGUUUGAUUGUUUUGUCGGCAGCGUUGAGCGACAACUUGACGUGGCAUCCUGAAGUUAGCAGAGAAUGUGAAAAGUAUGUUGCCGUGGUCCCCAAUUGAGUGUGUUGUCCUCUUUUUAUUUUAUAUAAUCAAUUUGCCUUGAUUUCUCCACGUAUGUCGUUGUUGGUUGGAAGAGAGAAAUCCAUCACAUUUACUGUCAAGUACCUGUGUGUAGUAGGGAAUAUAACACUUAAGUCUAGCCAAAUCAAUUUCUAAUAAAGCAUGAUAUGAAGAGAAAGCUUAUGUAUGCUCGCGUCUGGCCAAAUUCUUCAUGUGUAUAAUCAUAUGGUUGCUGGAUUCCUGUGUUUUUAUGCACAAUAUGAAGAGAAAGCCUUUGUUUCCGUGCACUUUUUCCUAUUCUUGUACAAGCUUUUUAUUACUUGAGGCAUGCACAAUCACAAUUAAAUAAUUGACAUGAGCAUACAUGUAUUCGGUUUCUCAAUUCAUUGAGGAUCUCUUUUGUGGAGUAGCCAUAGAUUUAUUAGCUGGGGCACUUGCAAACCUCACUGUCAAUUGUGUCCAAAUGAUGAUUAUUUUACGAAACGAGUAAAGGUUCAUGGUGGUUUUGUCAACAAAAGAAAAAUACAGAAAGAGGGGUUCAUAGUUUGGCUUUGAGUACUAACGUUUGAUAACAAAGAGAGAGACUGCAAUUCCAUAUAUUGUAAAAGUUAGUUUUAUUGAUCAAGUCCACACUAUUGACUGUACUCUAAUUUUUUUGAAUCCAUUAACACUUUUGCUUUGGAAGUUUUGGUUUUGAAUCUUUGGAUGUUUUUGAUUUUGAAUUUUUAGAUGUUGAUCACCUCUGAAUCCGAGUAGAUGAUCACUACUUUUUCUUCUAGAAACAUGAUGUAUAGAGUGCUACAUAGUAUGGGACUUACAAGUUCUAUGUAUUGCCUUGCUUAUAACAUACGUUACUUUUUUUCUUUUCUUUUUUCAUGUAGGGUCAAGAUGAGCGAAAAAUCAGCAUGGAUCUGCCUUUUCCAUGGUGGAACUUUAUCUCGUCGCCCAAUGCUUGAAUAUGUUGGAGGCAAGUUUGACUUGGUAAAAGUUGAUAUUAGUUCAACAAGCUACGAAAGCUUCAUUAGAGACAUCGAGAAUGGGGUAAAUAGUACAUUUGAAAAGCUUUAUUUUAAGAUUCCUGGAAAGUCACUAGAAGAGGUGUUGACAUACAUAUGGAAUGAGAAUAGAGUAGUCGAUUUAGUUUUUAGUUAUUUGCAUCAUGGGUUAAUUGAGUUAUAUGGAGAAAAUUUUACGACCAAUGAGGCAGCUGAGGGUGAUGGUCAAGGUGCCAAUGUGGGUGUGGAUAAGGGUAUUGGUCAGAGGGUCGGUGAGGAUGCUGGUCAAGGGGUUGGUGAGGGCGCUGGCACUAGUGUUAGUUUAAGUAAUGAGACCAUGAUUGAGUACAAGAGUGAUUUAGAUCCUGAUGAUUUAGUUAAUGAAGAUGAUUAUAUCGUGGAUGAUGACGAUGACGAUGAGGCAGACUUCCUUGUCGAUGUAAAAUUCUUGACUGAUAAUGAUGAUUAUGAUAAUGAGAAGCUUCUAGAAGCAAGGAAGAACAUGACAAAGUUCCAUGGGAAUGCCAUAAAUGAUUUCAUUACAAGGGAAUCAUCCACGGGGUUGGUGCCAUCACAAAGAUUAGAUGUGAAUAAUGUUACUAAUAUUGGAGCUAAUUAUGAAACAGAGUACUAUGAAACAGAUGGAAAUGAGAGUUUGGAGUCUAAUGAAGGAGAAGAAGAUGAUGAUUUUACUAGGAGGAGAAGUAGGUUUCCAAAGCAUGAUUCUAAUUGUGUUGUGCCUAUGUUUAUUGUGUCUAUGGCAUUUGAAAGUAGUAGGCAAUUCAAAGAUGCUCUAAUAAAGUAUUCAGUGGCUAAGCAUAAAGAGAUAAAAUUUGUAAAGAAUGACUAGAAAUUUGUCAGAGCAAAAUGUGCACAUGAAAAUUAUCCUUUGAAGAUUUCUAGAUCUGUCGAUACUCAUACCGGAUCAUUUCAUGUAAAGGCUUAUCAUUCAGAACAUACCUGUAGCAUAAGUUUCAAGAAUCGGAGGUUGACGAGUUCUUGGUUGGCCAAACACUAUCUUCCUACAAUAAGAGCAAUGCCAACUAUCAAGACUAUUGCUUUCAAGGAGCUUAUCAAUGAGCAACUGGGCAUAGAUGUGAGUAUCAUACAAUGCAAGAAGGCUAAAUUGUUGGCUUAUCAAGUAUUGAUGGGAAACUAUAAGGAGGAAUAUGCAAAGUUGUGGGAUUAUGCAGAGGAGCUUAGGGAGAGAAAUGCUAGGAGUACUAUUAUAUUGAAGGUUGAAAAGUCUGAUAUGCAAUCUAAGGUAUUAUUUGAGAGAAUGUACAUAUGUUUUGCUAUUUGUAAGAAAUGAUUCAUUGAUGGAUGUAGGAAAGUUAUGGGAUUAGAUGGUUGCUUCUUAAAAGGAAUUUGUCAAGACCAAAUCUUAUGUGCUGUUCGAAGAGAUGCAAACGAUCAGAUGUUCCCAAUUGCUUAGGCGGUUGUCCGAGUCGAGAGUAGCGACAGCUGGCGUGGUUCUUUACAAAUUUGAUAUAUGACCUCAACAUUUCAUCCUCAUAUUUACAAGGUUGGGUCAUAAUCAAUGAUAAACAAAAAGUAAGUUCAUUAUUAUUAUUAUUAUUAUUAUUAUUAUUAUUAUUAUUAUUAUUAUUAUUAUUAUUAUUUUGUUAUGCCACUAUAGUGACGCUUGUAAUAUAUGUUUCAUAUUAUGAUCAUCUUUUGCAGGGCCUUGUACAAGCUGUGGCUCAUUUGUUGCCUGCAGCUGAGCAUAGAAUGUGUGUGAGACACAUCUAUGCCAAUUGGAGCAAAAAGUAUAAAGGGAUACAAAUGCAAAGAUUGUUUUAGAAGUGUGCUAAAAGUAGUUCGAUGAUAGAGUUUGAUGAACACUCUCAAGCAUUGAAGAAAAUUAAUGAUACCGCAUAUCAUGACUUAGUUCAAACAGAGCCAAAGCACUAGUCUAGAGCCUUUUUUACAACUGAUGUAAAAUGUGACAUCGUUGACAACAAUUUAUGCGAGGCAUUCAAUGGAAGAAUUAUACAUUCUAGGUGUAAGUCCAUUUACAGUAUGUUGGAGGAAAUUCAAAUAAUAAUAAUGACAAGGAUGCAUACACAGAGGAAUGCAUAUGCUAAAUGGAGAAAGGACUGUGGUCCAAGAAUUGUAAGAAAGUUAGAAAAAGAUAGAGCCGGUGCGACAUAUUGCCAAGUGAUCUGGAAUGGUGAGACUGGAUAUGAGGUAAUGGAUAAGGGUGAGAAAUAUGAGGUGGAUGUGUUUAAGAGAGAUUGUUCUUGUCGAAGAUGGCAGCUUACUGGCAUCCCUUGUCCCCAUGCCAUUUCUGCUUUAAAUCAUAGGCAAGAUGAUACAUAUGAUUAUCUUGAUGAAUGUUACAAGAAGGCUAAGUUUUUAGAUGCAUAUAAAAAUAUGAUGAUGCCAAUUCGAGGGCAGAAAUUUUGGAAACAGACUCAUAGAGAGCCACCUGAACCACUUCCAGCCAAGGUCAAACCUGGUAGACGUAAACUGAAAAGAUUGAGGGAGGAAGGUGCGGUGGCACUUGGAACUAAGAUAUCGAGGAUCGGAAUGAAAAUGACAUGUCAAGCUUGCUUGAAGACAGGACACAACAGUUUAACAUGUCCAGCUAAGAAGAUUGGGUCUACAUCAUCACAAACACGAUUUUCAAGGCAAAACAUUUUGGUUAGUAUCUCCAUUUUCAUUGUGUUAUGCUUGUUUUGUUAAUAAAACUAUAAGCAAAUAUACUUUUUGUAGGUACAGAGACGUACAGGUAAAGUGACAAGUGGUAGUGGUGGCGGCCCUACCGGUGUGAAUCCUACGGUCAACGCAAAAGCCAAAAGUUGCUCAAAGAGGUAGAAGUGGCGAGAUGUGGGGGUAGAUUUAGUAGUGAUAUGUUUUAGUUGUAACUUUUUGUGAAGAUAGGUCAAGUGAAGAUUUUCUUUUAAUGUAAAUUUUUUAUCGGCACACUCUGGGUUCUUGCCUUUUGAAGAAAAAAAACACCCAUGUUGCACUAUCUUCUAGACUUGAUUGAGUUCAACUAAGACAGUACUACUUCAAAGCAGCAACAAAUAUUCGCAUUUUGAUGCCAUGAACUGUUAAUGAAUAUCAUCUCUUGUUUCAAUAUACUUGUUGUAAGUUCUAGGCAUGAGUUUUGCAUUGGUGUUUUUUUUUCCUCUGUACUUCCUUAAUAACCAUACAGCAACUUGGAUAAUGAUGUCCCACAUAUGACAGGUUGUUUGAACCUUUAAUAAGAAAUUGUCUUUUUUUACUUUUUGGUAGCCAUUUGGACGUAAGAUUGUGUGUACGUUGUUUGCUUGUUUGGUAGCCAUUUGGACAUAAGAUUGUGUGUAUGUUGUUUGCUUGUUUAAUAUUUUGUGGUUAUUUGUUCUCGAAGUAGUGAGAUUGUAUUGCUUUUUUUUUUCCUCAUAUUGUACUCCAUUAAUCAUAAUAGCAGGUCGUGACAUCAAGAACGAUAUGUCUUUGGUGUUGAGAUUGAGAAACAAAUUGCAUAUGACACAAGAUAGUGCAAACAACUUUCACUUUGUUCAUGUUCAUGUUCCAACAUGUGGACAAAUACAAAAUAUAUUGCAAAAAUGUACAAAAAUAUAUUAUAUAACAAGAUCAACAUUAACACCAAGCUCAGUACAUCAUUCAUCUUCGAAUUUCCAAAUACCAUGUUUCCUAGAAUUACUGUAAAGACCCACGACACAAUCAACAUGGUCUUCAAUGUCGACAUUUGUUUUUUUUCAACAUUGCUCCGGUGAAAUUGUGUUGACACACUUCUUGUUGAUGGACACAUUUUUGCAUCAACCCAAAUAAAUAAAUAAAUAAAUAAAACCGCAACUUUCUCUGAUUUUAUAUUUCGGAUAGCCGUGAUAUCUUCUUCCUCGAUUCUCCUUCAUCUUUACUGUUUUAUCCUGUAAAAAAGUUAAACAACAGCACCUUAGCAUAUGUUACAUGGCUUAACCUCAAUAGCAACAAUAUAACUCAUUCCAUCUUGAAAUUAGUCUCAACAACAAGAAAUUAGGUCCUAAAUGCACCUCAUAAUGCUGACCUAAAAUUCCUGUCCCUAUUAGGAUACAACAAGCUUACCAAAAGAAAAUACAAAUAAGAACUUCAAAAAUUUGUUUCAUGCUUCUAAGACAAAUGCUUAACAGACUACAUCAGAGCAUAUAUAUUCAUGCUUAGCCAACGCCAACAUCAGAGUAAUUUUCCUCCCAAAUUGUAUGCAUGAUAUGGAUCUCGAUUUCCCAAAAACUAAGCAAAUGUCAACGUCGACUACAAAGUUUAGGCAAAUGUGAUUUCGACUCCAAUUAAGCCAAUAGUUCUUGGAGGGAGAUCAGAAUCCGCAAACACAGCGUGCAAGCAACGUCGCCAUUUGAGCCAUCCGCAAACUAUGGUACCAUAUUUGGAAGAUGAAGACCCCCCUCUAAAAUUAGGAUUUUUCUUUGGAGUAUAUGUCAAAAUGCUCUUCCCACAACAGAAAAUCUUACCUCGGCCAGCAUGCCUAAUCUAUGAUCAAGAAGCAGAAUCAGUGGAACAUAUAUCCUUCCUUUGUCUAUGGACGAACUCAAUUUGGUCGGAUCCUGAAGUAAAAAUCCAAAUUUCACGUCAAAACCUUUUGCGAAUUGAGGUUUGGCUCCAACACAUAAUUGAACAGCCGGGAAAUUCACUGACUUUCGAAGAAAUUACAACCCUUUUGUGAUUCAUUUCAAAAGCAAUGAAUGACUUUGUAUUUCAAAGGUUAAACCCCAAAUUCGAGAAACCCUAAUUGACUCAGCACAAGCAUUACUCAGCAAUUUCAGCAAGUGGAACAAGCAAAGUUCGAAACUUUACAUGGGAAUGACUCAAUUGACUCAAAGAUUGGAUCCCAUUGAAGCCUCUUACCUUUAAAAAUCAACAUCGACAGAGCAUUUAUGGAAGGAGCAACGGUAGUGGCCAUCUUGGGAGUUCUUCGAGACGCGUUGGGAACCCUUCUCGACGGUUUCGCAAAGACGAUUCCAGCUUCAAUGGCGAUCCAGAUGGAGUACUUGGCCUUGAUUGAAGCUCUGAAUUUUUUUCGGUCAAAGAGAGAGAGAUGGAGGCGAUUGGUGGAAGAACAACUUGGCUUCAAGAAAUUGGAAAGUCGAGAUUGAAUCUAGAGCAAGUUGCUGAGAAUUUUUGGGGUAGAUCAGAAUAGGGUUUGGGCGUACUUUGGGCGAAGUUCGUGGGCGGAGCGUCGGUAGAGCAUGGGCAGAGCAUCUUCAAUUUUAGGGUAAACGAAAUGCUGCGUUUUGGGUGUAAAAAAGUCCCUUUUGAAAAAAAAAUUAAUAAUUUUUUUAAGCGAAACGACGUAGUUUCGCACUCCGGCGUCCAUGUCAACACCGGCAACGCCAGCCGGCGUUGACUUGGAGUCCACAUAAGCCUUUUCUAGUAGAGAAUGGCCGGAUGAACUAAAUCAAUACCAAACGCAAAAGGUUUAGGACUAAAUUGGUCCAAUUGAAAAGUUUAAAACUGAAUUAGUAUCAAUGCAAAAGGUUUACGAUUUUUUUGGUACUUUUCCCUUUUGUUUUCUGCAACAGUUUUGGCUUUUCUUUCGAUGCAAAGGAGUCGGCAAACCUCCGUCUUCUUCAUGCCAACAAGACGCGCCCACAUCUGAUAUAUAAAACUUGAUGCGGUCGGUAUCCAUGUUUAUAAAGAGUUCAUUAUCUCUUAGAAUGAGUCUUAACAGCUCAUCUAACACCAAUUCAGUGAGUACUGGACAUAUAAAUGAAAGUCUAUGAAGUUGCUCCUUUCAAGUUGUAAAAGAUCCUCAAAAGUUGAUAAGUAGGUGAUUAAUUUUUAAUUUCACCAAAGUCGCUCGCAUAGUACUAAUCAGCUGCGAACACAGCCCAACAACACACAACACCGCCAUGAAUAAUACAACAAGAAGGAGGUCCACGACAGGAUCGGUCAAACCAGACUCAACAAAGCUUAUUUGAUCACCCAGAUCGAGUAGAAACAUACUUAGUAGACACAGAAAGACUCGCUAUCCUUCGCAUAGACCAAGGACUCGGGUGCACUCGGCAUAACUGAUAAAACAGUCCUAAUACAGACCGGGCCAGAGCUCAAGGACCUUCUUCCAAGAAGGCCUGCUCGAGAUAUCAUCCCACCAACCGCUCACAUGCUUUCGGUCCCUUAUCAGAUACUCCUUCCCUAUCUUUCCCACCAAGUACUGGGUGAACGGAAGGUGGCUCAGGUCGGCAAGGCUGAAGAAAUCCCCUGCCAGGUACUUGCUCUUUGACAGCCUCUCCUCGUAGAUAUCCAGAACCUGACAGAGCUUGUCCUCGCUCUCUUUGAGCUGCUUCGGAUCCGGGGUAAGCCCAAUAAAAGGGCCAAAAACAAUUUUGAGGACAAGGUCGUAGAUUGGCGGAUGGAAGUUGUGGGCCUCGACUUCGAGCCACUGCUCAACGAGCCCCCUCUCCUCGAUUGUCUUCCCCAGCAGUUCAGUCCCUUGGUCCUUGUAUUUCUCGGCAUAAUACCUUAUGAUGGCCCGCGAUUCUGUAUGAAUUAGACAGGAUAUAUCACAGAGAAUAGACAGACAAAUCUUUAUCCCCACAUAUGAAAAGCAACAAAUAACCAGAAUGAAACCUAAAAGAGGCAUGCACUGUGCUUUCGAAUCUUCCAGCAGUCUUACUCUCAUGACACUAGACCCACGGUAUAAGUGUAGAUGCAGCAGGACACUUCAAUGUCUAUGCACUGAUCAUUCUGCUUAAAGUCCAAUCAAGAACAUGACCGGAUGAAAAUGCAGGUCCAAACUGAAAAUCGCCUUUGGUCGACAUACGAAAAGAGGCAGAUCAUGAACAACUCCAGAACAGAUAUGGAGACUAAGAGCCUGGCCUUAAGAGCUUUGGAUUCAAAUCAUCUGUUCCCGAGGCAAAUGAUUAGACUUGAGAUUGAGAGUGGAUGUAUGUAACCUAAAACGAGUGGCUGAUAUCAGGUGAACAUGCCGGUGGACUCAAUCUUUUCAACUUCCUCUGAUAUCCACUCAUUGCAGAACUCUUUAGACUAUUGCGACGCUUCACCGGCCGAUUACAACGCAAACAGCCCUAGUAAAUUAGGAACAUCUGCACGCUAAAGAACCAUCCGUAUGUCCCCGUGCUCUGAUCUCAAGACCGCAAGAAAACAGCAAUAGAAAGAAAAUAACGAUGCAAGAAGCCAAGAGUCGAGAGCAUUACCGAACAGAGUGUAGUCGCCAUCUUGAACCACAGGAAGCGAUCCGAAGGGCUACACAGACGCGCGCGCACACACGAGAUCCGAAUCAGCGUCAAUCAGACAAGACUACCCACGAAAGGAGACACAAUGAAAAUUCAAGCGAUCAAGAGUUUGACCGAAAGCGAAGUUGGAGUUUCAAGAACGACCGGGACAGACCUGGAGCUUGAGGUACUCGGGGGCUUUGUGCUCGCCUUUGAGGAGGUCGACGCCGACGGUCUCGAACUCGACGCCCUUCUCGAGCAGGCACACCAGUGCCCGCUUCGGCGACGCGUAGUCAGGUCCGUACACCUUCACCACCAUCGUCACUCUCGCUCUCUCUCUGUGCUUCUCUCUUCCUUCUUGACGGACCUAGUCAGCGACUCUCUCCGCUGUGUCUCCGUGGCGCUAUAAAGAGGUCUCUUUGUUAGAGCAGCAGAAGAAGGUGCACAAGUCAAUGAUGCACCAACCCACAAUUAAUCCAAGGUUAGGUAAUUGGUCCCCAUCAUUAUGAAGUUUCGCAUUUCGCAUUUGCUUCCAUGAGUUUGAAUCCCUCUGUAAGUUCAACUUAUGUGGAAAUACCGCGACUCUUUUGGCUGUGUAUGCUAUCUGGGUAAAGUUGGGAUGGCAAGUAGGGCCUCCUUUGGCUGUCAAGGGAUUUAUUGCCCUAGAUUAAAAAUAUCCCAUAAAAGAGAUGAAAUAAAUAUAGAUAGAAUUUUUUAUAUUUAUGAUAUAAAAAUCAUUUUUGUCUAAUAACAAAUUUCUUCGAAUUUAAAUAAUUAAAUAUAAACAAUAUAUGAGUUCUAAUAUUAAAAGGGAAAUUCAAAAUAACAACGAUUUUCAUUUUAUUUUAUUUUUAUUUAUCCGAAUUUAUUUUCUAUAUAUACAUACUUAGCAUUUAUAUCUAUCACAUAUUUUAGGUAUAUUGGUAUGGUUAAUUUAUUAAGAAAUGAUGGAAAGGAAUUAAAAAAAAAAGGAAACAAAACAAAAGAGUGAAAAUAAUAUAAAAAUAAAUAAAUAAAAUUGAAGUAGGCGAGAGAGUUGAAACACUAAUUAAGAUUCGCGAAGGUAAAUGAUCAUGUUUUCUUUCUCUUAGUAGAUUUGACAAGUGUUGACUAAUCCACCUAUCAAUGUUGUCAUAGCUCAUUUAGGUUUGUCGUCAAAAUCGAAUUCAUGACUUUGAAAUGUUGCAAUGAGCUCAUUUGUUAUUUAAGAUUUGGAUUGUCCAAUAAUUAUGCAUUUAUUUAUGGAUGUUAUCUCUGUCUACUUAUGGUUUCUUUAACAAUUAAUGUAAGAUAUUCUUAACAUCUCCAUUUGUACAUUUUCAUGUUCAUUUAUAUUGAUAUACUAUUCCUAGCAAAUAUUUGACAUGAUAGGAUAUGAAAAUAUUCAGUUUUAUUACAACAAUUCACCACAUAAUAGAUAAGAUUUUGUUAAUUCCAUAUCUUACCAUAUCACAUUCUAUUCAAUCAUAUCGUAAUUAGAAAUCCAAAUGAACAAAUACACCUAAAAUUGUUAAAAUUUGUCAUGCUCCAUGGGACAUUUGUAAUCUUGAAAGAUCUGUCUUUUGUCGAUUUCUUUUGCACUAAAUUGGUGUCGCACCUAUGCUCUACACCUUUGAUUAGUUUCGGCCGAAAGUUUUCAAUAAUUGUCACAAGAUGAAAAGCACCGUGCUCAUUUUUUUCACAUGGCCCACCUGCUUCUGGAAAGGCAAUUACCAAUUUGCUCGAAUAGGGUAGUAGGUGAGAGGUCAAAUUGGCCUAUGUCCGCAAGCCAUAGAUUCUAAUAAUCGGUCUUCUUUUCAAUCUAAAUUAUUCGAGGGAGUAGGAAGAUUUGGCCAACCGAAAAUGCACACUUGAGCUGUCCUUGCAUCAUUAACAAAAUGGUUUUCUUUCUCAACUUCCUUUGCACCUGCAAUUGAGUAAACUAUUGAUCACCUAACCUCCACAGGAGAACAAGCAAGAAAGGGGUAAUCGAUUAUUAUAUGUUCGACGCCAUUAUUCACCCAAAUCAAUCAUCGCGAGUGAGAAUUUAAGAAACCUCAUAACAUUUUUCAUGUGACAACGGAAUUAGAAGAGCAAAAAGCAUCAUUGUUCGGACGAAAUACUGCUAUGAGAAAGACUAUCGGUUCGAGUGUUAGAAGAGAGGUGUUUUUUGGAAGGAUCAUUUAUGUGACUCUCUCUCCUCUGAAACUUUUUCGUAUUUGAUUCGUCAAACCUAAUUGCAAAAGUAAACCGUGAUAAUUUCACCCUGCAAUGCUGGUCAAGUACGCUGCUUUGGUUGGCUUCCUGGCUGCCCACUGAUUAGGGCGAGUCCUGAAAAUUACUGUCUUGGAUUGAAUCAAGCCGAGGAAUGCGGAGAAACCUUAUAACGAAUAUUGAUCUCCUGCUGAUGCUCAGAGGCACACCAUCGUAAAAGACAAAUCGUAAUAUUUGGUCUUUCUUUGUUUUAUUUGGUCAAAAGUGGGCUUUUUCAUAUUUAAAGAAAGGAGAAAAGAAGAGUAAUAAUGGGACAGCCCGCACCGAGAGAGAAAGGAAAAGGAAACGCGAUAGAAAAGGAAGACGAGAGGGAAAAGGUAAAGAGGAAGAACUAGCGCACACACCUUGGAAUUAUCGUCAGGUUGGAUUGACUUCAUUUUUAUGAUCAGAAUUUACGGCAUUUGUUUGUUUAUUCGGAGUAGUUUUCAAAAUCAAGAUACAAAUUCGAAAUCAUGUGAAAUUUAAACUACGAAUUCAGUUUUUGAGUUGUUAGAUGUGGAAUUGCAUGGAAAUCAUGAUUAGGGCGUUAUGGAGUCAUGAAAUAUGAUGGGAAUUCCUUACCAAAAUUAUUUGAAGUAACUUUUAAAUCAUAUUUGAUGGGAUUUAUUUGAAGUAACUUUUUAGUCGAAGUGAACUUUAGAAAUUUCUACAGAGCUCUACAUUGUGAUUAGCUUUGAUUCAUCGCAAUGGGCGAGCGAUUUGUUGUGCAUGGGUGUAAUUUUGUUAGGGAUUAAACUUAGUUCAGCCAAUUCGUGGUUGAGAUAGUGUUUUACUUGAUUUUGAUGUAAAUUCUAAUUUAAUUUAUAAAAUUACAAGAUCGUCAGCUCUUUUGAUUUUGGGUAUUUUCAAGUGAAUGAUACUAUCCCUUUUUUGAAUUUCUAAACUCAUAUGUUGAAAAUGAAAGGGAUUAGACAUAUUAUGUGUAAAGUAUGAUUUAAUUAAAUGGCAGAAAUGAUGUUCAUUGCAUAUUUGAUACAUAAAAUUUGAAUCGGGUAUUUAUUGCCCUUUUGAUUAUUUGAAAUAGCGUGGAAAGCAUUUUUGGAAACAAUUUACGAGUUGAUUAUUAUGAAAUAAUUUGGGAAGUGCUUUAUUGCAUAAAAGUUAUAUGUAUUGAUUUGUGAAAUUGAUUUAUAAAGGUAUUAUAUUGCAAAAGGAUAUAUGUUUGAUAUUAUGAAAACCAUUUAUGAUAUCGAUUCUGGAUUAGUUUUGAGGAAGAAAUUGAUUUUUGAAAGGAUAUAUGUUUUGGUUUGUGUCAAAGUAUUUUGAUUAUGGGAUGGAUCUGGGUUUGGUAUUGUGGAUUAUUAGAAUAUGAUGGUUUGAUUCUUAUUAUUGUUGCAAACUUAGUUAGGAGUUUUUAAGGCUUAAGGAUAUUAUUAUGGGUCAAACCACUAGCUGCUAAUAGGCGGAGACAUUGCCUUGGUCCUCUUUCACCAAUCGUGAUUAUGGUUGAAUAUUAAGCAUAAAAUGAAUCAGUGAAAUAGCUUAUUGAUGUGUGGAGCGAGUUUCAAGAACAGAGACAGGCCUGAACUUGAGGAAUUCAGGGGCUCUGUUCUCGUCCUUGAAGAUAUUGAUGGGAACGGUCUCGAACUCGACGCCUUCUCGACCAGGCACACCAGCACUCGCUUCGGAUUUGCAUAAUCAGGCCCGUACACCUUCACCACCAUUUUUUCUCUCUUCUUCUCUCUUGUCGACGGACCAGUUGAUUUCCAAAUAUCUUUCAGGAUCGACUCUCUCCUUCUGCAUCUGGGUUUUUAAAGGAAGCCCUUUUCAGAGGAUUAAACCAUGUUGCACACGACACCGUCAUGCACCAACAUACUGCUCGCGACCCGAUUCCUUUGGGGAUCCAAGGUUAGAUAAUCGGUCAACGUUGGUAUGCUACUAAUUACCUUUGUCGAAUUUUACUUCGCAUAUGCCUUGGAAGGCUUUGCAACAUUUCCUCUGACUUAUCUUUCAUAGAUUCUUCUCUGGCAAUGCGCAUGCUAUGACAUAUUUGGACGGUAGACUUGAAAUUCAUUAUGCUCGCACAAAUUUCCGCAGAGAAAACGACAGUCUUUAAAACUUUAGCCUAAGUACAACGUCAUCUUUGACUUUUAUUAAUUUAGUGAAUUCCUUGAAUUUCUAAUGUCCAAUCUAAUCCUUAAACCCUUUCGCAUUUUCCCAAUUAAGUCCAUCUAGCCAAUUUUAGCUAAAAAUCACUAAACUAGACAUUAACUAUAUUAGGUAGUACAGGUGACAUUGACGUAAAUAAUUUUUUAAUUUUUUUUAACAUUUUUAAUGAACUUUUUAUUUUUUAUUUUUCUUUUCUUUUUCUAAUCCUAGGCCGGCAACCCUCGCCUUGUCUAGGCUAGGGGCCCUCGAGCUGCGGUGGUUGUUUUUGUAGCAAUGGUCUCCCUCCUCCUUUGAGGAGUUUGUGUUCUGAUCUUCAUGCCGUGCUUGUCUCUUGUUAGCUUGGCUUCCUUUUUCUGGUUGCCUUGUGUUGUUGAUUUUACAUCUCGGCAUCCGUCCACUCAUUAUGUCCUCUCAUCUUGAGUGUAUGUUUUCGAUGCCGUAACCUUUUGUACAUUUGGCAUUUCCCUAUAUAUUUAUUACCUCUUACCAAAAAAAAAAAAAAAAAAAAAACAGGUGAAGGAUGCCCUCGCCUUACCCAAGCCAAGCAAGGUUGUCACAGCCCUAGCCUAAAUCUAGGCAAAGGCCAACCCUCUCACUUGUGGCCUGCAACUUAAGUAACAUCGAUCAGUAUGUGACAUGCAACACAACAUAAGACAACGUGCGAUAUGGCACAACACGAUACGUUGACACAUUAAUUCUCGAAAAAUAGAGAAUUCCAACACGUUAGGAUGCAUUGUAUAUUAAAUAUAUAUAUUUUAUAUAUACAUGAUAAAUUAUCAUUUUUAUGAUUAUUUUAAUAAAUUUAAUUUGAUUUAGAUUCGGAAUAAAUAAAUAAUAAAAAAGAGCCUAGAAUGAAUUUACACUAAAAACAUUAAUUUACCGUUUGUUGAUAUGAUUCAUUGUUUCAAUUUAACAAAUCUAACUAUAUUCCGUUCAAAUAAUCUAUAAAACUUGAAGGAAAAAAAAAUCACAUUCCAUUAUUAAAUUUAACAUUUAACAAGAAAUCGAAAAAAAAAAACAAUUCACAUUUCACCAUCAAAUAUAACAAGAAGUCGUUAUUUCCCCCUUUAUUUAUUUUUAUUUUUAUUUUAUUUUUUACAUAUUUAUAUUUUGACUCCUCGUUUAGUGAAACUUUUUAAAAUUAACCUAAUGUGUAUCAAAAUCACUUGUCAGAAUUAUAGACUCACAUGUCGGAUCAUGUCGGGCCGUAUGUCGGAUUUUCCGACACCUGUUGACUACAUAUCAGAAUGUGUGGGAGCGUGUCGAAGUGUUUGACACAACACGAAAGAUCUUGGAAAAUGAACUAGGGUUAGGAAAAAAAAUAAAGAAAAGGAAAAACAAACAAAUAAAUAAAAUUAAAAUAUUCAAAUAUUAUUAAAAAUUGUGUAUGUUAGCGCUAGUCGUUGCCAGCCAUAUCACAUACAAUGUCUGAUCCACAUUAGUAAUUUUAUGUCAACAUUGGUUGAAGGAACUCAAUUGGCAAAAGUCGAAGAUGUUUAGACUCAAUUAACAAAAUUGAAAAGUUUAUGACUAAAUUGGCAAAAUUACUAUAGAUUUAUGACUUUUUGGAUAAUUUUUCCUCUUCCCUUGCAUGCAAUGCGGACUGAACUUAUCUCCUAGAGUGAGUCUUAACAGCUCAUCUAACACCAGUUCAGUGAGCGCUGGACAUGUGAACGAACAUUUAUGAAGUUGCUCUUUCCAAGUUGUAAAAUAUCCACGAAAGUUGGUUAGUAGGUGGUUAAUUUUUAAUUUCACCAAAGUCACUGGCAUUGUACUAAUUAGCCGCGUACAUAGCCCGACAAAACACGACACCGCCAUGAAUAAUACAACACCAAAGAGGUCCACAGCAGGAUCAUUUACUGGAGAAAUCCCACUUUUACACAUGACCUUCACAAACCAGACUCAACAAAAGCUUAUUUGAUAGUCCAAAUCUGCCGAUUCAGAUCGAGUAGAAACAUACUAAGUAGGCACAAAGAGACUCGCUAUCCUUCACAUAGACCAAGGACUCGGGUGCACCCGGCAUACCUGAUAAAACAGUCCUAAUACUGACCGGGCCAGAGCUCAAGGACCUUCUUCCAAGAAGGCCUGCUCGAGAUAUCAUCCCACCAACCGCUCACAUGCUUCCGGUCCCUUAUCAGGUACUCCUUCCGCAUCUUGCCCAUCAAGUACUGGGUGAACGGAAGGUGGCUCAGGUCCGCAAGGCUGAAGAAAUCCCCUGCUAGGUACUUGCUCUUUGACAGCCUCUCCUCGUAGAUAUCCAGAACCCGACAGAGCUUGUCCUCGCUCUCUUUGAGCUGCUUCGGAUCCGGGGUAAGCCCAAUAAGCGGGCCGUAAACAAGAUUGUGGACAAGGUCGUAGAUUGGCGGAUGGAAGUUGUGGGCCUCGACUUCGAGCCACUGCUCAACGAGCCCCCUCUCCUCGAUUGUCUUCCCCAGCAGUUCAGUCCCUUGGUGCUUGUAUUUCUCGGCAUAAUACCUUAUGAUGGCCCGCGAAUC